rnacentral:sRNA from 1 species
AUGGUUUUGAGGACUAAAGAGAUUAAGAACGGACGGCUCGCGAUGCUUGCUU